AGACUAGUAUGAAAGGCAUCANNNNNNNNNAACUGUCUCCUUUUUCCAAUCAGUUAAACUAAUCUUCCCGUGAAGAAGCGGGAAUAAACAUAUAAGACGAGAAGACCCUAUGGAGCUUUAAACACAUGGCACUUGUCCUUUAAUUCUACUCCCCGGAUCCUAAGCACUUGACAUUCUGACCAAAAGUUUUCGGUUGGGGCGACCACGGAGAAAAACUCAACCUCCGUGUUGUAUAAAUUUUUUUUAACCUAAAGCUACUCCUUUAAGUAUCAAUAAAUUGACAUCUAUUGACCCACCUUUGUGAUCAACGAACCAAGUUACCCUAGGGAUAACAGCGCAAUCCACUUUGAGAGCUCAUAUCGACAAGUGGGUUUACGACCUCGAUGUUGGAUCAGGGUAACCUAGUG
rnacentral:rRNA from 1 species